AGAGUUUGAUCCUGGCUCAGGAUGAACGCUAGCGACAGGCUUAACACAUGCAAGUCGAGGGGCAGCAAUUUGUAGCAAUACAAAGUUGGCGACCGGCGCACGGGUGAGUAACGCGUAUGCAACCUACCUACAACAGAAGAAUAAUCCGGCGAAAGUCGGUCUAAUACUUCAUAAAACAGGGACACCGCAUGGUGUUAUUUGUUAAAGAUUUAUCGGUUGCAGAUGGGCAUGCGUACCAUUAGGUAGUUGGUGAGGUAACGGCCCACCAAGCCUACGAUGGUUAGGGGUUCUGAGAGGAAAGUCCCCCACACUGGUACUGAGACACGGACCAGACUCCUACGGGAGGCAGCAGUGAGGAAUAUUGGUCAAUGGGCGAGAGCCUGAACCAGCCAAGUCGCGUGAAGGAUGACGGCCCUAUGGGUUGUAAACUUCUUUUGCAGGGGAAUAAAGAUAUUCACGUGUGGGUAGUUGUAUGUACCCUGCGAAUAAGCAUCGGCUAACUCCGUGCCAGCAGCCGCGGUAAUACGGAGGAUGCGAGCGUUAUCCGGAUUUAUUGGGUUUAAAGGGUGCGUAGGUGGGCUAUUAAGUCAGUGGUGAAAGUUUGUCGCUCAACGAUAAAAUUGCCGUUGAAACUGGUGGUCUUGAGUAUGGAUGAAGUAGGCGGAAUGCGUGGUGUAGCGGUGAAAUGCAUAGAGAUCACGCAGAACUCCGAUUGCGAAGGCAGCUUACUAAGGCAUAACUGACACUGAAGCACGAAAGCGUGGGUAUCAAACAGGAUUAGAUACCCUGGUAGUCCACGCAGUAAACGAUGAUUACUAGGAGUUUGCGAUAUAGUGUAAGCUCUACAGCGAAAGCGUUAAGUAAUCCACCUGGGGAGUACGCCGGCAACGGUGAAACUCAAAGGAAUUGACGGGGGCCCG
rnacentral:rRNA from 1 species